rnacentral:lncRNA from 1 species
UUAUUCUGUCAUACAAUAAAUAAGUAAAUGAUGCAUCGUACUUAACAAUAGAAAAUGCUUUAAAUAAAACUUCAUAAUUCAAAGACAUCAAAUUCUUCAUCAACAUAUGUUGAUAAAUAACAUAAAAAGUCAUGGUUCUUUAACGUCAUAAAAUAAAGACAUUCAACGUUUAACCCCAACCCAAGUGUUAUAGAUCAGAGCAUGCAUUUAUUCGACUACUCAAUGAUAAAGAUAAAUGGCUACGGAGGUAUAUUUCCGUUGCCACCUUCUAAGCGUCCCGCAAGGCUAAAUCUCCUCUUCCUGUGUAUCUGUAUCCCAGGAGUAUAGACACCAAACACACAAACAACAGCAAGGGGUGAGAAUUCACAUCAUAACAAAUAUUGGGAUACAUGAAUAAUAAAGCAGAUAAUCAUAUCUUCAUCGGUCCUUCAUCUCAUCAUCAUCAAUCAUUCAUCAUUCCAUCCUCAAUCAUUCAUCAUAAUAUUCACACAAUUCAUUUCAUAAACAUAAUUAACACAUACAUCUUAUGCACACCUUUAACACAUAUAUCAUAUUCACAUUAUUAGCACAUAUCACCGUUCACCUAACAUGACCUAUAUGCAACAUACUUCAUCCCUAGACCUACAUGCAUGCCGGUACCGGAUCCUAUCGUCAUAAUAAUGUAAGUCAGAGGUGUGUUAUUGAACUUACAUCCGUCAUUCGUCAUUCGUCAUUAUGCAGUAUGAUAUGAUGCAUGUGGACCCACCAAAACAUCAUUUAGAAGACACAUAAACAACACAUAAUCUUUACGUCAUAGUUACUCGUCAUAUUGCUUGUUAUUAGAAAACAAGUACGUCAUUCGUCAUACAUCAUUUUACAUCAUUCGUCUUUAAUAAUCAUAACAUCAUUUUACAUCAUCAUCUUACGUCAUUAGCAACUCAUCAUUAUUUUUACACCAUAUAUUCGUCUACUUAUGUCUAACUCUUAAUUUUGUCAUAUUCACGUCAUAUCUAAAUCUUACACCCACCAUUAGUUUAAUUUUCAUUCUUUGCAUUUUUUACUCUUAGUGACAUACUUCAUCCUUCAUCUUAUCCGUCCAUUUAACCCACCUAUCCUUCUCCUCGUUUAUAUGCACCUCAUCAACUCUUUAACAUUACCGCUUAUAUUAACUCUUAUUCCCUACAACCUAACAACCUUCCUAAGCUCAUUACUAUUUAAGGAUAUUAUGUUUAACCUCAUCAAUUACCUAUAACCAUCUACUCUAUUAUUCCCUCUUAUCAUCGUAUUUUCAUUUCUUUAACUCAUUCAUAUCUUGUACCUUACUUCAUACUUUGCCACGUCAUUAACGUCAUUUAUUACCUUAUUCAUUUACCAUCGUGUCUCUUUAAUUUACCCUAGUUCUUGCUCUUCAUGUAGUCUCAUAGUUGCAUCUAUCAUUUACUCUAAUUUACUACUAUUUUGAUCCUAAUUAGUUCUUGAAUUACCCUCUCACAACUCUCUCUACUUCGCUUCUAAGUCCCUCAUCGUUUCACUACCUAAUCUCUUUUGAUUUUUUGAGAUAAUCAAAUCCUAAUGACACUUAAGCAUACUCUCUCAACCUCAUUAUAAUCAUUAACAACUUCCAUUCCUACCCCAAGGACCAACUCAUGAACUCAUUAGACUCUUUAUACAAGGUUAUUUCCUUCCUAAAAAUAUCUCUAGAUGGUUAGGAUAAAGUCCCUACACUUAGGAAGAAGUUUGGAAGUAUUUGGAGUUAAGAAAAUUGCAUUUUUAUGGUUUCUUGUAUGACAUAAUCGUGGCACGUUGGUCUCCCAUCGUGGCACGAUUUUUCCAGAUUUGACAGACGACUUCUGAUUUUUAACAUUCACGUUUUCGCGCGUAAAAAUCAAACCGUUAACUCGUUUUCGAUGCCGUUUUCGCCUACACGCUCCUGACACUUAACUCUAUCAUAAUCUACAGAAAAAUUCAAGUUUCAACCACCCAAAAAAAAUCGAUUUUCCAAACCUCACAUAAUCUCUUAUUUGCAAAACGUUUAGACACCGACUUUUCAAACUAAAAUCCCAAUUUCCAUCGGCUCAAACCCCAAUACUGAUUGGAAACUUAAUCUGUGAUCAUUCUACAAUCGAAACAUUCUUUAUCACCCUAAUCCAUCAGAUCAUCUACUUCUUUCUACAAUUCAAUUCUACAUUCUAACCCUAACUUAAUCCCAUAAAUCUCAUUCGUUCAACAACAUCAUUGCCUUUAUUCAUCACCAUAAUUCCAUCAUAAAUCAUAUCAAAAGAAACACAUCAUACUAAAUAAAGUUACCCCCAUCAUAGAUUAAACACCCUAAAGUGGUAGGAAUCUCCCCCUUACCUCGAAUCUUUGAAGUCACAGCUUUCCGGCUCUCUUCUCCGAAACUAGGGUUUUCUCCUCCUCUUCUCUCUUCUUCUCUUGCUUCU